UACGUAGGGCGCAAGCGUUGUCCGGAAUUAUUGGGCGUAAAGAGCUCGUAGGCGGUCUGUCGCGUCCGUUGUGAAAACUCGAGGCUCAACCUCGGGCUUGCAGUGGAUACGGGCAGACUAGAGUGCGGUAGGGGAGACUGGAAUUCCUGGUGUAGCGGUGGAAUGCGCAGAUAUCAGGAGGAACACCGAUGGCGAAGGCAGAUCUCUGGGCCGUAACUGACGCUGAGGAGCGAAAGCAUGGGGAGCGAACAGG
rnacentral:rRNA from 1 species